rnacentral:misc_RNA from 1 species
GGCAGAGAUGGCUCACAUGUCAGAGGAAACAAAAGAGGAUAAGGAUAGUUAUGGGGUCGUGGAUACUGGAGUUAACGUGCCAGGAGUGAAUAUGGAAACAGAGACUACAAUGGAGGUUGUUGUUAACUUAGCAGAGGACUCUUGGAAGGCAGUGGAAGCUGAUAUCACGGGGACGAUGGAGGGACCAGUAAUGUUGGAUAAGGAUAUGGGGAAGAGGGACGUGGUAGAGGAAACAAAGGAGGAGGCUGCAGACACCGCAGAAGAGGCAGAGAUGGCUCACAUGUCAGAGGAAAUAAAGGAGGCGGCUUUUGUUACGGCAGAAGAGGCAGAGAUGGCUUACAUGGCAGAGGAUACCGUGGAGGUGGAAGAGGAGAAAGGGUUUGCAGCGGAUGUGGAGGAGGAGAAGGAAGGGAUGACUGAAGAAGUUGCGUUGGCAGAGGAGAUGAAGGCAGCAGAGCAGACUGAAAUGACUGACAAUGCAGAGGAAACUAAGGUAGCAGAGGAGACAGAGGAGGUUGUUAAUGAGGAUGGGGACAUGAACGAGAUGGAGAUGGCUGACAUGACAGAGGAAAAUGAACAGGAAGAGGAGAUGGAUGUAACAAAUGCUAAAGAAGAAUCAGGGACGGCUGAAGAAGCAGAUAAUGCAGAGGAGAUGGAACUGGCAGAUGG